rnacentral:lncRNA from 1 species
GCUCCAAUGCCUUUGCCGCUUCCAAAGAACCACCACUACUGUUCUGUUGCCUCCAUGCAUAUUGUGCAUAUAUCCGUAUAAUAUAGUUACUUAUAACAUUGAUAACACUGCAACUUAUCUUUAUCUCUAAACUUGGAUCUAGACAUUGCACUAUUAGUGAUCCGGUCAAGAAAAAAGAAGAUUUUCUUCAAUCCAUUCAACUUAAAUUUCACAAAGAAAGU